rnacentral:rRNA from 1 species
UGAGGAAUAUUGGUCAAUGGACGCAAGUCUUAACCAGCCAAGUAGCGUGCAGGAUGACGGCCCUAUGGGUUGUAAACUGCUUUUAUAUGGGGAUAAAGUGGGGAACGUGUUCCCUUUUGCAGGUACCAUAUGAAUAAGGACCGGCUAAUUCCGUGCCAGCAGCCGCGGUAAUACGGAAGGUUCGGGCGUUAUCCGGAUUUAUUGUGUUUAAAGGGAGCGUAGGCCGUUUGGUAAGCGUGUUGUGAAAUGUAGGAGCUCAACUUCUAGAUUGCAGCGCGAACUGUCAGACUUGAGUGCGCACAACGUAGGCGGAAUUCAUGGUGUAGCGGUGAAAUGCUUAGAUAUAAUGAAGAACUCCGAUUGCGAAGGCAGCUUACGGGAGCGCAACUGACGCUGAAGCUCGAAGGUGCGGGUAUCGAACAGG